GCCAAGAAAAGCCGAGCGGUCUAAGGCGCUGCGUUCAGGUCGCAGUCCGGUCUUCCGGGCGUGGGUUCGAAUCCCACUUCUGACA
rnacentral:tRNA from 1 species